rnacentral:rRNA from 1 species
CGCAACCCCUGCUUUCAGUUGCUACCGGGUCAUGCCAAGCACUCUGAAAGGACUGCCCAGGAUAACGGGGAGGAAGGUGGGGAUGACGUCAAGUCAGCAUGGCCUUUAUGCCUGGGGCCACACACGUGCUACAAUGGCCGGUACAAAGCGCUGCAAACCUGCGAGGGGGAGCCAAUCGCAAAAAACCGGCCUCAGUUCAGAUUGAGGUCUGCAACUCGACCUCAUGAAGGCGGAAUCGCUAGUAAUCGCGGAUCAGCACGCCGCGGUGAAUACGUUCCCGGGCCUUGUACACACCGCCCGUCACACCACGAAAGCCUGUUGUACCUGAAGUCGUUGGCGCCAACCGCAAGGAGGCAGACGCCCACGGUAUGACCGAUGAUUGGGGUGAAGUCGUAACAAGGUAAAGGGCGAAUUCCAGCAC